rnacentral:rRNA from 1 species
GAAUUUUAUAUAUAAAAUUUAUUUUAUAGUUAAUUUUUAUUUGGAUAAAGUUAUAUAUUUAAUUGGGAGGAUUAUUAAAUUAAUUGAACUUUAAUUAAUAGGAGGAUAUUAAUAAAUAAUUUAUAAUUUUAAUUAUAAAGGAGGAUUAAUUAAUUGAUUUAGAAUUAAUUACCUUAGGGAUAACAGCGUAAUAAUUUUGGAAAGAACAUAUUAAUAAAAUUGAUUGC